rfam:Mus musculus chromosome 17, GRC primary reference assembly.
GGAGAGAUGGCUCAAUGGUUAAGAGCACUGACUGCUUCUUCCAGAGGUCCUGAGUUCAAUUCCCAGCAACCCCA